UACGUAGGGUGCAAGCGUUGUCCGGAAUUAUUGGGCGUAAAGAGCUCGUAGGCGGUCCGUCACGUCGGCCGUGAAAACCUGCAGCUUAACUGUGGGCUUGCGGUCGAUACGGGCAUCACUGGAGUUCGGCAGGGGAGACUGGAAUUCCUGGUGUAGCGGUGAAAUGCGCAGAUAUCAGGAGGAACACCGGUGGCGAAGGCGGGUCUCUGGGCCGAUACUGACGCUGAGGAGCGAAAGCGUGGGGAGCGAACAGG
rnacentral:rRNA from 1 species